CAGUAGCCGCGGGAAUACGUAGGUGGCAAGCGUUGUCCGGAAUUAUUGGGCGUAAAGGGCUCGCAGGCGGUUUCUUAAGUCUGAUGUGAAAGCCCCCGGCUCAACCGGGGAGGGUCAUUGGAAACUGGGAAACUUGAGUGCAGAAAAGGAGAGUGGAAUUCCACGUGUAGCGGUGAAAUGCGUAGAGAUGUGGAGGAACACCAGUGGCGAAGGCGACUCUCUGGUCUGUAACUGACGCUGAGGAGCGAAAGCGCGGGGAGCGAGCAGGAUUAGAUACCCCCGUAGUCCCUGUCUCUUAUAC
rnacentral:rRNA from 1 species